rnacentral:tRNA from 1 species
GUAGGUAUAGCUCAGUGAUAGAGCAUGUGCUUAGCAUGCACAAGGUCCUGGGUUCAAUCCUCAGUACCUCCA